rnacentral:rRNA from 1 species
AGAGUUUGAUCCUGGCUCAGGACGAACGCUGGCGGCAUGCUUAAUACAUGCAAGUCGAACGAGCUUCCGUUGAAUGACGUGCUUGCACUGAUUUCAACAAUGAAGCGAGUGGCGAACUGGUGAGUAACACGUGGGGAAUCUGCCCAGAAGCAAGGGAUAACACUUGGAAACAGGUGCUAAUACCGUAUAACAACAAAAUCCGCAUGGAUUUUGUUUGAAAGGUGGCUUCGGCUAUCACUUCUGGAUGAUCCCGCGGCGUAUUAGUUAGUUGGUGAGGUAAAGGCCCACCAAGACGAUGAUACGUAGCCGACCUGAGAGGGUAAUCGGCCACAUUGGGACUGAGACACGGCCCAAACUCCUACGGGAGGCAGCAGUAGGGAAUCUUCCACAAUGGACGAAAGUCUGAUGGAGCAAUGCCGCGUGAGUGAAGAAGGGUUUCGGCUCGUAAAACUCUGUUGUUAAAGAAGAACACCUUUGAGAGUAACUGUUCAAGGGUUGACGGUAUUUAACCAGAAAGCCACGGCUAACUACGUGCCAGCAGCCGCGGUAAUACGUAGGUGGCAAGCGUUGUCCGGAUUUAUUGGGCGUAAAGCGAGCGCAGGCGGUUUUUUAAGUCUGAUGUGAAAGCCUUCGGCUUAACCGGAGAAGUGCAUCGGAAACUGGGAGACUUGAGUGCAGAAGAGGACAGUGGAACUCCAUGUGUAGCGGUGGAAUGCGUAGAUAUAUGGAAGAACACCAGUGGCGAAGGCGGCUGUCUAGUCUGUAACUGACGCUGAGGCUCGAAAGCAUGGGUAGCGAACAGGAUUAGAUACCCUGGUAGUCCAUGCCGUAAACGAUGAGUGCUAAGUGUUGGAGGGUUUCCGCCCUUCAGUGCUGCAGCUAACGCAUUAAGCACUCCGCCUGGGGAGUA